UACGAGGGGGGCAAAUGUUGUUCGGAAUCACUGGGCGUAAAGGGAGCGUAGGCGGGUUCUUAAGUUAGGUGUUUAAUCCCGGGGCCCAACCCCGGACCGGCACUUAAACUGGAAUCUUGAAUAGUGGAGAGGUCAGUGGAAUUGGGGGUGUAGCGGUGGAAUGCGUAGAGAUCCCCAAGAACACCAGUUGCGAAGGCGGCUGACUGGACACAUAUUGACGCUGAGGCUCGAAAGCAUGGGGAGCAAACGGGG
rnacentral:rRNA from 1 species